AUUGAACGCUGGCGGCAUGCUUUACACAUGCAAGUCGAACGGUAACAGGCCGCAAGGUGCUGACGAGUGGCGAACGGGUGAGUAAUGCAUCGGAACGUGCCCAGUCGUGGGGGAUAACUACUCGAAAGAGUAGCUAAUACCGCAUACGAUCUAUGGAUGAAAGCGGGGGACCGUAAGGCCUCGCGCGAUUGGAGCGGCCGAUGUCAGAUUAGGUAGUUGGUGGGGUAAAGGCUCACCAAGCCAACGAUCUGGAGCUGGUCUGAGAGGAGGACCAGCCACACUGGGACUGAGACACGGCCCAGACUCCUACGGGAGGCAGCAGUGGGGAAUUUUGGACAAUGGGCGCAAGCCUGAUCCAGCAAUGCCGCGUGCAGGAAGAAGGCCUUCGGGUUGUAAACUGCUUUUGUACGGAACGAAACGGCUCUGGUUAAUACCCGGGGCUAAUGACGGUACCGUAAGAAUAAGCACCGGCUAACUACGUG
rnacentral:rRNA from 1 species